rnacentral:rRNA from 1 species
AACGAACGCUGGCGGCAGGCCUAACACAUGCAAGUCGAACGAGAGCUUCGGGCCUGGUGGCGCAUGCGUGCGUAACGCGGGGGAACCUGCCCUUAGGUUCGGAAUAACUCCCGGAAAGGGGUGCUAAUACCGGAUAAUGUCCUCGGACCAAAGAUUUAUCGCCUUUGGGGGGGCCCGCGAUGUAUAAGCUGGUUGGUAGGGUAAAAGCCUACCAAGGCGACGAUCGAUAGAUGGUAUGAGAGGAAAAGCAGACACACUGGGAGGAGGAAACGGCCGGGACUCUUAGGCGAUGGGGGAGUGGCGAAUCCUGGAAUAUGGCGUGAAGCCUGAUCGAGUUCUGCUGCUUAAGCGAUUAAGGCUUGAGGGUAGUAAAGUUCUUUUACACGGGAUGGUAAUGACGGUACCGGGAGAAUAAGCACCGGCUAACUUCGUG